GACAGAGGGUGCAAACGUUGUUCGGAAUUACUGGGCGUAAAGCGCGUGUAGGCGGCUAUGUAAGUCGGGCGUGAAAUCCCACGGCUCAACCGUGGAAGUGCACCCGAAACUGCGUAGCUAGAGUCCUGGAGAGGAAGGUGGAAUGCUUGGUGUAGAGGUGAAAUUCGUAGAUAUCAAGCGGAACACCGGUGGCGAAGGCGGCCUUCUGGACAGUGACUGACGCUGAGACGCGAAAGCGUGGGGAGCAAAC
rnacentral:rRNA from 1 species